UACGGGGGGAGCAAGCGUUGUUCGGAUUUACUGGGCGUAAAGGGCGCGUAGGCGGCCAGCGCAAGUCAGUUGUGAAAUCUCCGGGCUUAACUCGGAACGGUCAAGUGAUACUGUCGCGCUAGAGUGCGGAAGGGGCAAUCAGAAUUCUUGGUGUAGCGGUGAAAUGCGUAGAUAUCAAGAGGAAUACCUGAGGUGAAGACGGGUUGCUAGGCCGACACUGACGCUGAAGCGCGAAAGCCAGGGGAGCAAACGGG
rnacentral:rRNA from 1 species